GGUUAAGCGACUAAGCGUACACGGUGGAUGCCCUGGCAGUCAGAGGCGAUGAAGGACGUGCUAAUCUGCGAAAAGCGCCGGCGAGGUGAUAUGAACCUUUGACCCGGCGAUGUCCGAAUGGGGAAACCCAGUGUGUUCCGACACACUAUCGUUAACUGAAUACAUAGGUUAACGAGGCGAACCGGGGGAACUGAAACAUCUAAGUACCCCGAGGAAAAGAAAUCAACCGAGAUUCC
rnacentral:rRNA from 2 species